GGGGACCGCCGGACAGUUCGUGAGGUGUUGGCCCUCUCAAAAGCCAAUUCCCCGGGGCAGAUCUUCCUAUCAGAAACACGACAAGCCUUUAGUCAUAUGGAAAAGCUUAAAAGGAGAUUGAAUAUGAAGGGUUUUGCGGGUGUGUCCGGUGCUGGCCUUAGUGGAGGGCUUGCAUUAUUUUGGGAUGAAAAUUUGCAAGUAACAGUG
rnacentral:rRNA from 1 species